rnacentral:rRNA from 1 species
AGCUUUAAGUUUUAUUUAAAGUGAGACCUGCCCAGUGCUAAUUAGUAAACGGCCGCAGUACCUUGACUGUGCUAAGGUAGCAUAAUCAGUUGGCUUUUAAAUGGAGUCGGGAAUGAAUGGAUUAAUAGGGUUAAGCUGUCUCUACUAUAUUAAAUUGAACUUACUUAUUAGGUGAAAAUGCCUAAGUUGUAAAAGAAAAAAGACGAGAAGACCCUAGGAGUUUUAACUAGAUGCUAUUUAUUAUAGUUAAUGUUUUUGUUGGGGCGACAUUGGAACAAUUUUAUUUAACUUCCUUUAUGUUUAUAGGCCGACUUUGUAUGUAAAUUUAAACUACCCUAGGGAUAACAGCGUAAUUCUUUUUGAGCUUGCGACCUCGAUGUUGGACUAGGAAUUUGGUGGGCUAGCCGCCUA